UACGUAGGGUGCGAGCGUUGUCCGGAAUUAUUGGGCGUAAAGAGCUCGUAGGCGGUUUGUCACGUCGGCCGUGGAAACCGGGGGCUUAACCCUCGGCGUGCGGUCGAUACGGGCAGACUUGAGUUCGGCAGGGGAGACUGGAAUUCCUGGUGUAGCGGUGGAAUGCGCAGAUAUCAGGAGGAACACCGGUGGCGAAGGCGGGUCUCUGGGCCGAUACUGACGCUGAGGAGCGAAAGCGUGGGGAGCGAACAGG
rnacentral:misc_RNA from 1 species